AUUGAACGCUGGCGGCAGGCCUAACACAUGCAAGUCGAGCGAGCGGCGGGGGGGUGAGAAGUGCCUGGAACUUGCCCAGUCGGGGGGGAUAACAGUUGGAAACGACUGCUAAUACCCCAUACUAUUGGUUUGCCCAGGUGAGAUUAGGUAGUUGGUGGGGUAAUGGCUCACCAGGGCGACGAUCCCUAGCUGGCCUGAGAGGUUGAUCAGCCACACUGGAACGGAAAACCGUCCAAGCUCCCUACGGGAGGAAGAAGUGGGGAAUAUUGCACAAUGGGGGAAACCCGGAUGCAGACAUGCCGCGGGUGGGAAGAAGGCCUUCGGUUUGUAAAGCACUUUCAGCGAGGAGGCGUUACUCGCAGAAGAAGCACCGGCUAACUCCGUGCCAGCAGCCGCGGUAAUAC
rnacentral:rRNA from 1 species